rnacentral:misc_RNA from 1 species
GAUGAAGAACGUAGAGAAAUGCGAUAAGUAAUGUGAAUUGCAGAAUUCAGUGAAUCAUCGAAUCUUUGAACGCACAUUGCGCCCGCCAGUAUUCUGGCGGGCAUGCCUGUUCGAGCGUCAUUUCAACCAUCAAGCCCUGCUUGCGUUGGGGUCCUGCGGCUGCCCGCAGGCCCUGAAAACCAGUGGCGGGCUCGCUAGUCACACCGAGCGCAGUAAUACAUCUCGCUUUGGGCGUGCGGCGGGUUCUUGCCGUUAAACACCCCCUUUUUACCAAGGUUGACCUCGGAUCAGGUAGGAAUACCCGCUGAACUUAAGCAUAUCAAUAAGCGGAGGA